UACGGAAGGCAGCAGUGGGGAAUAUUGCACAAUGGGCGCAAGCCUGAUGCAGCCAUGCCGCGUGUAUGAAAAAGGCCUUCGGGUUGUAAAGUACUUUCAGUCGUGAGGAAGGUGUUAAGGUUAAUAACCUUAGCAAUUGACGUUAGCGACAGAAGAAGCACCGGCUAACUCCGUGCCAGCAGCCGCGGUAAUACGGAGGGUGCGAGCGUUAAUCGGAAUUACUGGGCGUAAAGGGCACGCAGGCGGUUAAUUAAGUUGGAUGUGAAAUCCCCGGGCUUAACCUGGGAAUGGCAUUCAAGACUGGUUAGCUAGAGUCUUGUAGAGGGGGUAGAAUUCCAUGUGUAGCGGUGAAAUGCGUAGAGAUGUGGAGGAAUACCGGUGGCGAAGGCGGCCCCUGGACAAAGACUGACGCUCGAUGUGCGAAAGCGUGGGGAGCAAACAGGGAUUAGAUACCCG
rnacentral:rRNA from 1 species